AGUGAACGCUGGCGGUAGGCCUAACACAUGCAAGUCGAACGGCAGCACAGUAAGGGCUUGCUCUUACGGGUGGCGAGUGGCGGACGGGUGAGGAAUACAUCGGAAUCUACUUUUUCGUGGGGGAUAACGUAGGGAAACUUACGCUAAUACCGCAUACGACCUACGGGUGAAAGCAGGGGAUCUUCGGACCUUGCGCGAUUGAAUGAGCCGAUGUCGGAUUAGCUAGUUGGCGGGGUAAAGGCCCACCAAGGCGACGAUCCGUAGCUGGUCUGAGAGGAUGAUCAGCCACACUGGAACUGAGACACGGUCCAGACUCCUACGGGAGGCAGCAGUGGGGAAUAUUGGACAAUGGGCGCAAGCCUGAUCCAGCCAUACCGCGUGGGUGAAGAAGGCCUUCGGGUUGUAAAGCCCUUUUGUUGGGAAAGAAAAGCAGCAGGUUAAGACCCCGCUGUUCUGACGGUACCCAAAGAAUAAGCACCGGCUAACUUCGU
rnacentral:rRNA from 1 species